UCAAAUUUUGGGCUUCUCCGGAGUUUUAUCAACCAAUGCACCUCCACUCGCUGCAUCAAUCAUUCCUCGAUCUUGUGGGGCCAACCUUUCAUAAAAAUAUUACACUAAGAGCUGCUCACUAAUCUGAUGCUGUGGACAACUCACACAUAGCCGUUUAAACCUUUCCCAGUACUCGUAUAGUGACUCACCUACCAGCUUCUUAA
rnacentral:lncRNA from 1 species